rnacentral:lncRNA from 1 species
GGCAGGGUAUGGCAACCAUAUCCUGUAACAGAUUGAGAACUCCACUGCAAGUUGAGUAACGAGCUACGCGAGCAGGAGGAAGAGCCUACUGAGUGCUGUAAGAGGAACUCGGGCUGAAGUCAAAACUUGGAUGCAGUGACCUAUGAUGAUGUGUAUUUGAACUUCACUCAAGAAGAAUGGGUUUUGCUGGAUCCUUCACAGAAGAAUCUCUACAAAGAUGUGAUGCUGGAGACCUAUAGGAAUCUCAGUGCUAUAGGCUACUAUUGGGAAGGCCAUAAUAUUGAAGAUCAUUGUCAAAGUUCCAGAAGUCAUGGAAGGCAUGAAAGGAGUCAUCCUGGAGAGAAACCCUCUGAAUACACUCAUUGUGGUAAAGCUUUGGCAUAUCAGAGUCAUCCUCAAAGGCGUGAAAGAAUUCAUACUGGAGAGAAGCCCUAUGAAGGGAUUCAGUAUGAUGAAGCCUUUGUACAUCACAGUAGUCUCCAAAUACAUAAAGAAACGCACACUGAAGAGAACUCUUAUGAAUGUAACCAGUGUGGUAAAAUCUUUGCACGUCGUUGUAAUCUUCGAACACAUAAAACAAUACACACUGGAAAGAAACCCUACAAAUGCGAUCAGUGUGGUAAAGCCUUUGCACGAAAAAGUCAUCUCAAAACGCAUGGAAUAACACAUUCUGGAGAGAAACCUUACAGAUGUGAUCAUUGUGGUAAAGCCUUUGCAUAUCAUAGUUAUCUCCAAGUACAUAAAAGAAUACAUACUGGAGAGAGACCUUACAAAUGUGAUCAGUGUGGUAAAGCCUUUGGACAUAGUUGUCAUCUCCAAGUACAUAGAAGAAUACAUACUGGAGAGAAGCCCUAUGAGUGUAAUCAGUGUGCUAAAGCCUUUGUAGGU